rnacentral:rRNA from 1 species
UUCCUACGGGAGGCAGCAGUGGGGAAUCUUUCACAAUGGACGCAAGUCUGAUGAAGCAACGCCGCGUGAGUGAGGAAGGCCUUUUAGGUUGUAAAGCUCUGUUGCCGGGGAAGAAAGUUAGUGUAAGGAAAUGUGCAUUAAUUGACGGUACCCGGUGAGGAAGCACUGGCUAACUACGUGCCAGCAGCCGCGGUAACACGUAGAGUGCAAGCGUUGUCCGGAAUCAUUGGGCGUAAAGGGUACGCAGGCGGAUAUACAAGUCAAAUGUGAAAGGUGUAGGCUUAACCUACAGACUGCGUUUGAAACUGUAUAUCUUGAGAGCAGCAGAGGAAGGCGGAAUUCCUGGUGUAGUGGUGAAAUACGUAGAUAUCAGGAAGAACACCAGUGGCGAAGGCGGUCUUCUGGGCUGCAUCUGACGCUCAUGUACGAAAGCUGGGGUAGCGAACGGGAUUAGAUACCCCGGUAGUCCCAGCUGUAAACGAUGGACACUAGGUGUUGGC